ensembl:processed_transcript growth arrest specific 5
GCUGAGCAGGAAUGGCAAUGUGGACCCCUGUGAUGGGACAUCUUGUGGGAUCUUACAGCCAGAUCUGUGGCAAAGGAGGAUGAAGGCUUAUGAGGACUCGUCAGGAAGCUGGAUAACAGAACGAGCGCAAUGUAAGCAAUUUUGUGUGUGCAUGUGGUCCCAUUACAAGGAAUACCCAAUGGCAAAUGAGCACUAAAGAUCCCUCAACCCACACAUCGAAUGUAUUGUUCCCUGAGAGCACUUGUAGAUAGAGGAGUUGGGUGGGAGAUCUGAAGUCAGGGCAUUGUUUCUAUGUAUCUGAGGAGGCUGGUUUUUGAUAUUUGUGGGGAACUAGUGGUCGUUAACUCAUUUACCCCCUAUUUGGUGGACUCUGGUUCCCCCAUCUUAAGUGCUGAGUCAGGGGCAGCUUUAACUAUUUGUUUGUUGUAGGUGCUAGAAUAGAAGACCAGAAAAUGAAAUGGUGGAGUUUGAGGCUGGAUAGACAGUUUGAAAGGUACAAAUGAUGGUUUGAAUAAAGAAAGGUAAGCAUUGUAAGUUUGGUAUUUACUAUAUGAAUUAAGGUACUGUUAGUGAUGACCAAUAAAGUUAAACAGAUGGGAAUCUCUCUGAAUAAGAUUGAAGAUUGAUUGUUAAGCUGAAACAGUAUUUAAGAACAUCAGUAAAUAUACAAAUACAUAUUUAUUUCUAAACGGAGUGUAAUUUCUUACAGAUAUUACGCAUGGGUCACCUCAAGUGAAGGCGCUGCAAGCACAAUGAUUGGUCAUUCUGAAUUUCCCGUCCUUCAUUCUGAAUUUCAAAGGCUCCUGUGACAAGUGGACAUGCAGUGACUGUACCUUUUGUACCUUUGUUUCUGAGGUGCCUGGAUGGAGGCUCAAAU